rnacentral:lncRNA from 1 species
AUGCUGCUGUGGUUGCUGCAGGUUGAUCCCCACAAGCUGCUGCAGUGGUGGCAGCACAGGCACAGGGGCAUUUCGGCAGGCCGCAGCUCGGUGGCCAGGCUGAGGCAGCAAGACUUGGUCCCUGAUGGGGUGGGGACAUGCCUCCUGCCACUGCGGGGGACCGCACACACUCAGCGCCCACCAGAGUGGCUUCUGGGCUGGGAGAUUCACGCCCUGAUAUAUGGCUGCAGCUGCUCUCACUCUCAACCCCUUCUCAGCAGCUCUGCCUCAAGUUUCCACACGCCACGCUCCUUGGACUUACCAGUCUUUCUGAAAAGCUGAUGGGAUGACAACGUCCUCACCAGCGUGAGCAUUCCCAGGUCUAAGUCCUUUCCCAGGCUGCAGUGGUUUCUCUGCAAACCUAGCCCCACACUGUUACUCCCAGAAGAGCCAUCGCUGGAGACGUCUGCUCCUCCCACUCAACCCUGUCCCCAUCAAGGGUCUUUCCCUCUCCUCUGAGUCUCAGCUGAGUGGGACCAGCAAACAUGCUUCUGCUGGCAGCACUUGUGGCCACCACAGCUUGGUUUGAUGGACUUGCACAGGAAAUUCCCAUACAGACCCCUGUAUCCAUAACCAAAUCUCAAGGCAGUACACGUGUGCUGUGUCAUUUUAAACGUGUCUCUGCAAAUUUUGAUAACACCAUCAUUCACUGGUACCAACAGAAGGGGAAUAAAGCCCUAGAGUGGAUGUUCUACGUUACAACAAGGAUUACAAGAGCAGAUAAGAGCUUCCAAGGGCGCAGGUAUACAGUUGAAACGGUUUCUGACCAGAAAAUGUGUACUCUCAUAAUAAAAAGCAUAGUUCCAGAUGACACAGCUACCUACUACUGUGCCUACUGGGACUCUCACUAUGACAGAAACCCAGCGAUCACCUCGACCAAUACUCCCUCGGAGGCUCAACCACAAACGAUUUGAAAGAUCCCAACUCACUUCCCCCAGCGUGGAUGAGCCGCCCGGCCUCAACACGCAGGCUCUGCACAGCCGGGACUGGCUCGGCGCUGAGCCACUCCUUGGAGGGGGCAGCUGCCAAAAGCUGGGGUUUUCAAAUGAGCGAGUGGCACGUGCAAAGGAAACAGUGAAGGGCAAAUGCCUAACUCAACCUCAGCACCUCCUCUUCCCCUGAUUUUACUCAAGUGAGGAAACUGGUUUACUCAAGCAGGGAACUGGUUGUAAGGAUGUCUUUACUGGACAGGGGAAAUCUUCCAUGCCGCUGUUCCUGGAAAUAACUCAGCAUGAUGUCCUGGAGCUUUUCAAAGCCCGUGGUUUGACACAGAAAACUGAAAGAAAAAUUUCCCUUGAAAGCUUGAGUGCUUUCAAAAUCCCACUGAGAUGAGGGGGAAGACUCCCUCUGACUUGGAGUGAGAAAGUCCCAUCGAUCCAGGGGCAUAAAUUGGGAGACUUACUUGAAAGGGUUGGGAAAAUUACGUGUUGAGUAAGCAACUGGUUUGUACUUCAAGAAAGGAAUGUGGCAGCAUCAGCAUCAGGAAACUGUCAUUAUAAAGCCUAUCCUUGAGACAUUCUUAAUGGGGAAGCAGUGGAGAUGGCGUCAAGCCGGGCAGAGGGUUGCUCAUCAGCACGUGUUCAGAUCUUGAUAUUGAAUGUGUAAUCAUGAGAUUUGGGCUUGCCUGAUAAAUGCCAGAUGAUAGAAAAAUUCGUAGGCCCAUGUGCAGCAUCAGAUUUGGGAAUCAUACACUGCUUGAUGAGAAAAUUAGAUACUAAAUAAGCACAAGACAUAGAAAGAUGUUUAUAAAUAUAAAGAGGAAACUAAAAAUAGGAAUGUGAGUGUAUUGCUACCGAUGUCCAGAAGAUGUCAUGACUAGAAAGCAUUUCUGUUUAAGCUAGUGAGCUAGACACAUAUCCCAGGUGCUCAGUUCUAGUGUGGCACCCGGACCAUGGGAGGUGGCUAAGUACAAAGACAGCUGCCCCUGAUGGGUAGAGAGAAAGGCCACUUUCUCAGGGAUGUGGGAAAUGGCAGGGGUAGGGCCAGGGACCAGAAGGCUUAUUUGAGGGCUGAGCAUGCUUUUGCUGCAUAUUUCUGACUUUUAAAUUACUGCAGCUUUCAGUAACAGUUUGAAAGCAUUGCCACAUCAUUUGCAGCAUGGGGAAACUACUCUUCCUACCCCCACCACCACAGGAAGAGGGAUUUCAGGUGGAAGCUCUCUUAUCUCGUCUCUCCCUCCAACAAGCAAAGAUAUACCCAGGUGGAGAUGAAGCAAGAGGAACC